rnacentral:rRNA from 1 species
UACGUAGGGGGCAAGCGUUGUCCGGAAUCAUUGGGCGUAAAGCGCGCGUAGGCGGCCCGGUAAGUCCGUUGUGAAAGUCAAAGGCUCAACCUUUGAACGCCGAUGGAUACUGCCGGGCUAGAGUCCGGAAGAGGCGAGUGGAACUCCUGGUGUAGCGGUGGAAUGCGCAGAUAUCAGGAAGAACACCAACGGCGAAGGCAGCUCGCUGGGACGGUACUGACGCUGAGACGCGAAAGCGUGGGGAGCGAACAGG